rnacentral:misc_RNA from 1 species
AAGUCGUAACAAGGUUUCCGUUGGUGAACCAGCGGAAGGAUCAUUAACACUUUACAAAAAGUUUUAUAACACUCAAAAUUUCGUGAACAGGUUUUGCUGGCAACGGCAAAGCUUCCCCCCCUCUUUUAUAUUUAAACCCCAAAACACAAAAAAGACCAUUAUUUUUUUCCUUUCUGAACUGAAAGCAAAAAUGAAUUUUUUUUCGCAAGAAGAAAAAUAAAAUUUUACGAAAUGCUGAACAACUCUUAACAACGGAUAUCUUGGUUCUC